GAUGAACGCUGGCGGCAGGCCUAACACAUGCAAGUCGAACGCCCUAGCAAUAGGGAGUGGCGCACGGGUGCGUAACACGUGGGAAUGUACCCCAGGGUAAGGAAUAAUGUCUGGAAACGGACACUAAUACCUUAUAAUGACUUUGGUCCAAAGAUUUAUCGCACUGGGAUCAGCCUGCGUCUGAUUAGCUAGUUGGUGAGGUAAUGGAUCACCAAGGCAACGAUCAGUAGCUGGUCUGAGAGGAGGAUCAGCCACACUGGAACUGAGACACGGUCCAGGCUCCUCCGGGAGGCAGCAGUGAGUAAUAUUGCACAGUGGAGGAAACUCUGAUGCAGCCAUGCCGCGUGAGUGAAGAAGGCCUUCGGGUUGUAAAGCUCUUUUAGUCGUGAAGAUAAUUACGGUAGCGACAGAAAAAGCCCCGGCUAAAUUCGUGCCAGCCGCCGCCGUAA
rnacentral:rRNA from 1 species